rnacentral:rRNA from 1 species
UACAGAGCCCUCAAGCGUUAUCCGGAAUCAUUGGGCGUAAAGCGUACCGAUAGGUGGUUUUACAAGUCAGAGGUGAAAUCCCAAGGCUCAACUUUGGGACUGUCCUUUGAAACUGUACAACUAGAGGGGCAAAGAGGAAGCUGGAACGAACGGUGUAGUAGUGAAAUGCGUUGAUAUCGUUCGGAACACCAAUAGCGUAGGCAGGCUUCUGGGUGCCACCUGACACUGCUAGGACGAAAGCGUGGGGAGCGAAUGGG